GUCUAUGCGAACAGACACAAAAACAAAAAACGUUUCCUAAAUUUGUUACUUGAACUUGCAAUGCUGGAAUUUCUCACCUCUAAGUGCAGGAGGUGGGGAGUUUCAGGUGCAAGUAC
rnacentral:ncRNA from 1 species